rnacentral:rRNA from 1 species
GAAACAGUGGCUAAGACUGGAUAGGAAGAUAAAAGGCAUCUUUUAUCUUUUAAAAGACCUAGUAAUAGGUAUGCUUUAGGAGGGGCUUGCGCCAUAUUAGUUAGUUGGUAGGGUAAUGGCCUACCAAGACGAUGAUGUGUAGCUGGACUGAGAGGUUGAACAGCCACAUUGGGACUGAGACACGGCCCAAACUCCUACGGAAGGCAGCAGUAGGGAAUUUCCGGCAAUGGAGGAAACUCUGACCGAGCAACGCCGCGUGAAUGACGAAGUACUUCGGUAUGUAAAGUUCUUUUAUCAAGGAAGAAAAGCAAAUGGCGAACCAUUUGUUUGCCGGUACUUGAUGAAUAAGCCCCGGCUAAUUAUGUGCCAGCAGCCGCGGUAAGACAUAAGGGGCAAGUGUUAUCCGGAAUUAUUGGGCGUAAAGGGUGCGUAGGCGGUCUAGUAAGUCAGUGGUGUAAUGGCAACGCUUAACGUUGUCCGGCUAUUGAAACUGCUAAACUUGAGUUAGAUAGAGGCGAGUGGAAUUCCAUUUGUAGCGGUAAAAUGCGUAAAUAUAUGGAGGAACACCAGAGGCGUAGGCGGCUCGCUGGGUCUUAACUGACGCUGAGGCACGAAAGCGUGGGGAGCAAACAGGAUUAGAUACCCUGGUAGUCCACGCCGUAAACGAUGAGUACUAAGUGUCGGGUUAAACCGGUACUGAAGUUAACACAUUAAGUACUCCGCCUGAGUAGUACGUACGCAAGUAUGAAACUUAAAGGAAUUGACGGGACUCCGCACAAGCGGUGGAUCAUGUUGUUUAAUUCGAAGAUACCCGAAAAACCUUACCAGGUCUUGACAUGUUUUUGCAAAAUGAUAGUAAUAUCGUGGAGGUUACCAGAAACACAGGUGGUGCAUGGUUGUCGUCAGCUCGUGUCGUGAGAUGUUAGGUUAAGUCCUAAAACGAGCGAAACCCUUAUCGUUAGUUGCCAGCACGUUAUGGUGGGGACUUUAACGAGACUGCCAAUGAUAAAUUGGAGGAAGGUGAGGAUCACGUCAAAUCAGCAUGCCCCUUAUGACCUGGGCUACAAACGUGAUACAAUGGCUGUUACAAAGGGUAGCUGAAACGCAAGUUCUUGGCCAAUCCCCAAAAACAGUCCCAGUCCGGAUUGAAGUCUGCAACUCGACUUCAUGAAGUUGGAAUCGCUAGUAAUCGCGAAUCAGCAUGUCGCGGUGAAUACGUUCUCGGGGUUUGUACACACC